UCCGUUUUCCCUUUUUUCUAUAACCAAAUAGAAAGGAAUGUAAGAUCCUCCUCCACAGGGCCUGAAAGCUUAAGGAGAUGAGUAACUCCUCCCUUCGCAGGCCCAGUCCCAAGACACAAGGCCACUUGGCGCCAGCAGGGUGCAUCAGCAAGAGAGCAGAAGCAGGAAGAGAGCCAGCCGGAAGACACGCACCCCUGAAGAUCGAGAAAGAGGUCAUCCAGAACGUGUGUGAAUUCCAGUCACUCUGCACCUUCU
rnacentral:lncRNA from 1 species